rnacentral:lncRNA from 1 species
AAGCUUAGACACAAUCCUAAACAAACUCUAUGUCUAGAUGAAUGUUCAUUUACUAACACAAUUCAAACAUCAAAUGUCUUUGGUUGAAUAAUAUGAAAGCAAUCAUAACUAGCAAGUCCAAUGGCUAUCUUAGCACCUCUAACAACAAAUGUCUUUGGCAAAGUAUGCUAAAAGCUUAGAAGAGUUGUCUCGGGCAUUUCCUCGAACACCUUUCGGGUGAGAA